AUUGAACGCUGGCGGCGUGCCUAACACAUGCAAGUCGAGCGGUAACAGGUGUAGCAAUACAUGCUGACGAGCGGCGGACGGGUGAGUAACGCUUGGGAAUCUGCCUGUUAGUGGGGGACAACCCGGGGAAACUCGGGCUAAUACCGCAUACGCACUACGGUGGAAAGCCGGGGACCGCAAGGCCUGGCGCUAACAGAUGAGCCCAAGUCGGAUUAGCUAGUUGGUAGGGUAACGGCCACCAAGGCGACGAUCCGUAACUGGUCUGAGAGGACGACCAGUUACACCGGAACUGAGACACGGUCCGGACUCCUACGGGAGGCAGCAGUGGGGAAUAUUGGACAAUGGGCGAAAGCCUGAUCCAGCGACGCCGCGUGGGUGAAGAAGGCCUGCGGGUUGUAAAGCCCUUUCGGUGGGGAAGAAAAGCCUCGAGUUAAUACCUCGGGAUCUUGACGUAACCCAUAGAAGAAGCACCGGCUAACUCUGUGCCAGCCGCCGCAGUAAU
rnacentral:rRNA from 1 species